UACGGAGGUGGCAAGCGUUGUUCGGAAUUACUGGGCGUAAAGGGCGCGUAGGCGGCAAGGCAAGUCAGGUGUGAAAGCCCUCGGCUCAACCAAGGAAGUGCAUCCGAAACUGCUGAGCUUGAGUACUUAAGAGGAUCGCGGAAUUCCCGGUGUACGAGGUGAAAUUCGUAGAUAUCGGGAGGAACACCAGUGGCGAAGGCGGCGAUCUGGGAAGAUACUGACGCUGAGGUGCGAAAGCGUGGGGAGCAAACAGGG
rnacentral:rRNA from 1 species